rnacentral:lncRNA from 1 species
CUGCAGGUCAUGGAUGUAUCUGCCAGCUGUAUGGAUGUCCUGCGUCAUCUGAAAUGGCACAGGGCACCUAUGUUUAUUAAUUGAAUAGAACCCUAACUACUCAGAUUGAGGAACUCUAUUAGAUAAUAGAAUCAGUAGAGAGAUUCAGCUCUCACCAGGUUGGCAGCUGGGUCUGUCUAAGCUUCCCUGAGGGUACUGACUAUAGCAGUGAUUUGGGCACCAAGUUCACAUACAGACAUUUACUUACAAGCACCUAAUGUUAGGUGUCUUCAUCCCAGACUAAGACCAACCCAUGACAUGUCUGUUACAACAGAGGAUGAACUCAGAAAUGGAAGGCAGAACCUGGUGAAAGGAGGAAACUGCUAUGUGUAUGCCUUUGAAAGGGCUCAACAAGUGACACACGUAUCAGCUGGCACCGGUCCCCCUCCAAAUGUUUCCAUGGAUGCCAUGUCUAGAAAAAAGAUGGCACCUCAAAAUGUUAAAACUCAUGGAACAGGGCAUCAAAGCAAAUCCUCUGAUUCAGCCCUCUGUAUGAGGCCAGCCCAGAUGCUCUGCAGGAAUUGGGGUCCAGCUGAUGCUGCAAUUUUCUAGUAUUGAUAUGCCAGAAAAAGCCAAAAAGCCUAGCAGAUGCUUCAUAUGCACCGUAUAAAAGGUACCCAGAGAAUCCGGGCAGGAAACAGACUUACGGUUUGGUUUCAGGCUGCAAGGUUGAUGUCCCAUCAAGUUGUCUGGGAGUCCAGGUGGGCACUACCUGGGGAUCACAUAUGUGCUGCACCUCUGAGAUGCCAGGUGCAGAAUCCCCAUGUGUUUUCUGCCUUGAAAGACAGCCAGUGUGUCCCAUUGGACCCCUUCCAUCACGGGUACAUUGCUGUGUGCCAUAGUGCAGUGCAAGAGCAGCAGUCUUUGAAGUCCCAGCCCUGGACUUACACUGGACUUUUCAGUUUUUCUUUAGCAGAAAAGAGAGAAAAUAUGUGGCUGCAAAGAAAAUCUUACUUGGUAGCAGUUUCCAGGAGACAGAGCAAAGAGGGCUACCUCCCACCAGGAAUUUCCAGGUAUGCCAUCCCUGUGCCAUGGCACAGGUGUGGCUGGGGAGCCCUCACGCUGCAGCUCAGCUGCCCUGGCCCCUGAAUGCAUUGUACAUAUUCAGAAACUAGAAAGGGAGUAGGCAAAAAACCAUCUUACUUCUUCAAAGUUUCGGUGUUCUUGAACGUUUGAAUUGUGAGCCCUGGUUUCCUCCCUCAUAGUAAUACACAUUCCUGCAAAGAAAAUUUUGGAAGUUGUGGUAGAAAGAAAAAGUGCUUUAGCAAUGGCCAGUAUGGCCCAGGCAAGAAGCAUGUGAGCACUGUUUCAACACCCACUGCAAUUGGACAGGCUUGAGAAAUCCUGAUUGCCGGGAAGCAAAACACAAAUUGUCCCUGCAACUGCUUUUACCAGGUCGCUCUGUCCUUUUCCUAAUUCAAACUGCAAUUAUAGAGAUGAUAAAAUGAAAAAUAAAUAUACAUGCAGUAGCUGAGAAAAACCA